AGUGAACGCUGGCGGUAGGCCUAACACAUGCAAGUCGAGCGGCAGCACAGUAAGAGCUUGCUCUUACGGGUGGCGAGUGGCGGACGGGUGAGGAAUACAUCGGAAUCUACUUUUUCGUGGGGGAUAACGUAGGGAAACUUACGCUAAUACCGCAUACGACCUACGGGUGAAAGCAGGGGAUCUUCGGACCUUGCGCGAUUGAAUGGGCCGAUGUCGGAUUAGCUAGUUGGCGGGGUAAAGGCCCACCAAGGCGACGAUCCGUAGCUGGUCUGAGAGGAUGAUCAGCCACACUGGAACUGAGACACGGUCCAGACUCCUACGGGAGGCAGCAGUGGGGAAUAUUGGACAAUGGGCGCAAGCCUGAUCCAGCCAUACCGCGUGGGUGAAGAAGGCCUUCGGGUUGUAAAGCCCUUUUGUUGGGAAAGAAAAGCAGCAGGUUAAUACCCCGCUGUUCUGACGGUACCCAAAGAAUAAGCACCGGCUAACUUCGUG
rnacentral:rRNA from 1 species